GUUCCCGUAGCUUAGUGGAUAAAGCGUUGGUUUCCGGAACCAAAGACCGGAGGUUCGAAUCCUCUCGGGAACGCCA
rnacentral:tRNA from 1 species